rnacentral:rRNA from 1 species
CCUACGGUGGGCAGCAGUGAGGAAUAUUGGUCAAUGGGCGCGAGCCUGAUCCAGCCAAGCAGCGUGAAGGAUGACUGCCCUACGGUUUGUAAACUUCUUCUAUAAAGGAAUAAAGUGUAGCACGUGUGCCUUUUUGUAUGUACUUUAUGAAUAAAGAACGGCUAACUCCGCUCCAGCAGCCCCGGUAAUACGGUGGAUCGGAGCGUUAUCCGGAUUUAUUGGGUUUAAAGGGAGCGUAGAUGGGUUGUUAAGUCAGUUGUGAAAGUUUGGGGCUCAACCGGAAAAUUGCAAUUGAUACUGGCAGUCUUGAGUACAGUAGAGGUGGGCAGAAUUCGUGGUGUAGCGGUGAAAUGCGUAGAGAUCACGAAGAACUCCGAUGGCGAAGGCAGCUUACUAAACUGACACUGACAUUGAUGUGCGAAAGUGUGGGUAGCAAACAGGAUUAGAUACCCCGGUAGUC